GGGGUCCCAACGCUGCCCCCCACCUCCCCCCUCAGAUCCGCAUCGACAAACUGGUGGACAAGUGGUCCGGCUCCAUCGAGAUCGGGGUGACAGCACACAACCCCAACAGCCUGGAGUAUCCUGCCACCAUGACCAACCUUCGCUCUGGCACCAUCAUGAUGAGUGGUUGUGGGAUCCUCACCAACGGCAAAGGGACGCGGCGCGAGUACUGCGAGUUCAGCCUGGAUGAGCUGCAGGAAGGGGACCACAUUGGGUUGACGAGGAAAGCCAACA